rnacentral:tRNA from 2 species
UGCGGGAUGGAGCAGUCUGGUAGCUCGUCGGGCUCAUAACCCGAAGGUCGUUGGUUCAAAUCCGGCUCCCGCAUCCA